rnacentral:lncRNA from 1 species
UUUGAACAGAAUUGGAAGAGAAUUGGAAUAGAAUUGGAAUAGAAUCAUUGCAUUGUCCCAGGCUUGUCAUGCCAAACAAGAAUGUGACAGCACAUAAAAUCAGUGUUGUUUACUCUACAUGUCAUACGCAAGCCAAUUCCAACUAGUAUCACAGGGCAUCUCUAAGGAUACACUGUAUCCAAAGCCAAAAUAAACUCUGCCCAGUACAGCAGCAGGAUUUUAUCAUCAUGUGCCAUGAACUAGGAUCCCAUUUUCUUCAAGAAUUGAAGCUCACUUUGCAUAACAAGUCUGUGGUGCGUGUCAAUCGCACAAGCCACACUUCAAGGAUGUCAGUUUGGAUAGAAUCUAUCGUGAGCUUA